GACUGCUGAGUUCGAGGGCAGCCUCGACUACAUAAAUUCAAGUGACCUGAGAAACCUUCAGGCCUACUCUUCCCUCAUCUGUGUCUGCACGGAAACAUCAACUGGCUUGCUGAGAAAAAGAAUAUUCAUAGGCCAAAGAGCCUAUCGUCCAUAUCAUCUUCUACCAUCCAUAGCAAGAGUCUUCUAGUUACUUCAAAGCAAGCCUCUCCUCUGGCAGCCUCUCACUUUUCCCAUGAAAAUCAACCUACCACGUGGGAAAUGUGAAAUUGUGGUCCAUAUUCAUAUCUCAGGUAAAGUGGAUCACUUCCCAUGGACUGACAAGGCAUAACCUAAAGCCAGACUGUAAAAAAAUGGACUCACUGUUCAUGAGGAACUCUGCAUGUUGGUGGGCAAAUUAAUACUACUCUGUAGAUGGAAUGCAAUUCUCA